rnacentral:rRNA from 1 species
GUCGGCGACCAUAGCGGAGAGGCGAUACCCAAACCCAUUCCGAACUUGGAAGUCAAGCUCUCCUGCGGCAUGGCAAGUACUGGCCUACAAGCCGGGAACGCCAGAACGUUGCUGGCC